UCAGACUUGGGACAAGCAGAGUGAACUCUUGGGCCUAUAGGGAGAAGAAAGUCUGACUAAAAUUCAGCAAUGACAAAGUGAAGGCUACUACAUCCUCCCGCUGUUCUGUCAAAGAGAAAUCAGUUCAUGUCUACCACUCUCUGUGGGAGGGGCCUAAAACUCUUCAGACGUAUAUCAUUAUUACUUCAUACUUCUGAUGGGCUCUAAAAGGAUAUGGCCAAAGAACAGAAGAUUACUCCCAAAUGUUCAAUAAUU